UACAGUAUAUACUUGAGUAUAAGUCUAGUUUUUCAGCACAUUUUUUGUGCUUAAAAACCCCCACUCGACUUAUACUCGAGUUACUGUCUGUAUUAUGGCAACUUAGAAAGCCGCGGCCGUCAGAGCCAUGGCAACGAUCAGCGUGGCAACCAGACCGUGAGACUUACAGUGGAGCUGACCGGAACGGAGGAGAAAGGAGCUGACAGGAGCUGCAGGAAAGGUAAGUAAAUGCUUCCUGCCGGCCCCCUCACUUCACAGCCCAUGCCACUGGACCACCAGGGAUUAAGAUAGCCCCCCUCCCUGACCAGUUAACAAGCAGGUAGGGGGGGGACAAAAAAAAAUUAAAAUAAUAAAAAAAUAAUAGUAAAAUAAAAGAAAUUUAAAUAAUAAAAAUGCCCUCCCCCCACCCAGUUCACACACACUACAUUAUAUACACUCUGAAUUAUAUACAGAGAGUGUGUGUAUAUAAUGCAGACUGUGUGUUUGUAUGAGUGUGUGUGUGUAUAUAAUGCAGAGUGUGUGUUUGUAUGAGUGUGUGUAUAUAUAAUGCAGAAUGUGUGUUUGUAUGAGUGUGUGUGUAUAUAAUUCAGAGUGUGUGUUUGUAUGAGUGUGUGUGUAUAUAAUGCAGAGUGUGUGUUUGUAUGAGUGUGUGUGUAUAUAAUGCAGAGUGUGUGUUUGUAUGAGUGUCUGUGUAUAAUGCAGAGUGUGUGUUUGUAUGAGUGUGUGUGUAUAUAAUGCAGAGUGUGUGUUUGUAUGAGUGUGUG